rfam:Salmo salar isolate Sally breed double haploid chromosome ssa01, whole genome shotgun sequence.
UGUAUUCAUUACUGUAAGUCGCUCUGGAUAAGAGCGUCUACUAAAUGACUAAAA